CUUAUCUGCUGCUUAACUGUCAAAAAUCAAGCGGAUAUGUGCUAUAGUGAUACUAGUGAAUACAAAUGCACAUACUAAAUAUCACUUGCACAAAAAAGUACUUUGUUAAAGAAUAUUUUACCAUGUAUUUUAACGUCCGCCAAUGUGCUCAAAUAGUUUCAGUUUGUGAAUAAUCCACUGUUUGAUUAGUAAAUAGUUACAAAUGGUAAAUGCAUGUUUUUUAAAAAAAAACUUUAUUAGUACAUGCCUCCCAGUAUUGUAUUCACAAGAAAUCCUUUAAUUGACUAUUUCUGUGCUGGACUGCUCACCUUAGAGGUAGCACUUAACUAUUGCAAUGUGUUGUUCACCCUUUAAACACUCGAAGGGUAUAAGGUAACUACUGAGCUAGCUCACUCAUUUAUUUACAGAUUAUGUAUGGGUGACAGAAAAAUAUGAAUUCACGAAGUAAUCUGUUUGGUGAUGAGUCACAAAUAAAAU